rnacentral:lncRNA from 1 species
CUUGAUCGGAUCUAUAAUAUAAUAUAACUGGGAUUCUUUUAAGGAAGCUCAUCUCUAUCUCUUCUAACUCAUUCUCCGAUCAGAGGAUUCGAAAGUUGACACCUUUACGCUUUCUUCUUCCUCUGUUUCAUGGAAUCUGAUCCCUCAAUUCGUCUCUGUUUCUGCUGAGUGUGUGUGUGAGAGAGAUGGCGAGAGGUAGAUCGAUAACUAGUUCUGGGAUAUGGAGAUAUUUGAAUCCAGCGUAUUACCUCAGAAGGCCAAAGCGUCUGGCUUUGCUCUUCUUCGUGUUCGUCUCUGUUUCCAUGGUGGUCUGGGAUCGUAUGAAUCUCGCCAGAGAACAUGAGGUAUGUCUUGUCUCUUCGUAGAAUCUAGUCAGAGCUCUGUCUUAGAGACAUUCAUAAGCAUAAAGUAGCUAAUGUUAAAAGUAAUGAUACUUUUUGUUUCAAGGAAGUGAAUGACUCUUCUUGUGAUCAUCCUUCUGAUGGGUUUAACGAAGUUUCUGUCUUGUUUCAGGUUGAAGUUUAUAAGUUAAAUGAAGAAGUUUCACGGUUGGAGCAGAUGGUAAGAUAGAUGUUUCCCCUCUCAUCCUAUUGCCUUCAGUGCUUUCUUUAGCUAACUAAGUAAUAUAUUGUGCUAGUUAGAAGAGCUUAAAGGUGUUGGCAAUGGUAAAACUUUGAUGACUCAGAAGGAUGUUCCACAAAAUCCAGUUGAUAUGGAGCGAAGGCAGAAAGUAAAAGAGGCAAUGAUCCAUGCUUGGAGCUCAUAUGAGAAGUAUGCUUGGGGAAAAGAUGAGCUUCAGGUAUUAAAUUUACUAUAAUCCAAAUGUUGUUCAUUACAUAAUCUAGUGACAAUGGGGGCUCUACAAAUCUGAAGUUGUUCUUUAUUUAUUUCAUUCUUUAUUGUCAGCCUCGGACAAAAGAUGGCACUGAUAGCUUUGGUGGCCUCGGAGCAACUAUGAUAGAUUCUUUAGAUACACUCUAUAUAAUGGGUCUACAUGAGCAGUUUCAAAAAGCCAGAGAGUGAGUAUCUAGCUGCAGGCUCUUCAUGAUAAUUAUCUUUGCCAAUCUUUAUUUGCUCAUUGUCUUUUAUUUGCAGGUGGGUUGCAACCUCAUUGGAUUUCGACAAGGACUAUGACGCCAGUAUGUUUGAGACAACCAUAAGGUUGCUUUAACAGGUUUACUUUGGUUGUUAUCUGUAUCUGUCAUAGGAAGAGUCAGAACCAUUUGUGAUUUUAUUAGCUAGUUCUUGGUUGAUAUAAGAUGUGGGGUGUUGAUUUGUUGCAUCUUCUUAUGUUCUUUCUCUUUAUUUUCUUCCAGAGUUGUAGGGGGACUUCUCAGUACGUAUGAUCUUUCAGGGGACAAACUUUUCCUCGACAAGGCUAAGGAUAUCGCAGACAGAUUAUUACCUGCAUGGAACACUCCAACGGGCAUACCUUACAAUAUCAUCAACUUGAGGAGUGGAAGUGCUCACAACCCUUCGUGGGCGGCUGGGGUGAGUCCUAGAUCCUUUUAAAUCCUAUAGCACAGUUUGCAUUUCUUAUCUUGUAUGGUGAUGGUUGUAGAUUUGAUUGUCACUAUAGUUUCUUAUACUUUAUUUCUUAUCUGUGUCACCAAGUGUCACUAGAUUUAGAUAUGUAUCAUUGAGUGAGUACAUUUGGUCUGUCAGUUCUAGCUAAUUGUUACAAGUAUUGUAUGUACUAGGGAGCCAGUAUCCUUGCAGAUUCUGGCACUGAGCAGCUUGAGUUUAUUGCCCUUUCCCAGAGGACAGGGGACCCAAAAUAUCAGCAGAAGGUACAUGUCUCUGUAACUUUCAUGUGCGGUUUAUAGAUAAGCUAAUGGGAGAUUGUGCAAUACAUAUUUGUUAUAUCCUAACUAGGUGUUAAAGAGGAGAAAACAUUUGCUUUGGUUUAUUGAUUCGUUUGUUAACAUGCGUCUCUCAGGUAGAGAAGGUUAUAACGGAACUGAAUAAGAACUUCCCUGCGGAUGGUUUACUCCCUAUCUAUAUAAAUCCUGAUAAUGGCAAUCCAUCUUACUCCACCACAACAUUUGGUGCCAUGGGAGACAGGUAAUUUCCUCAACCAGAUGUGGCUUGGGUUCUCUGACCUUGACUUUGCACUAUAGCAGUUGCUAAUAUUUUGGUUUUUCUUUUGUAGCUUUUACGAGUAUCUGCUAAAGGUUUGGGUGCAAGGGAACAAAACGUCAGAAGUGAAGCUCUAUAGGUAAGUAAAGCUGUAUGCUGUAUUUCAGUAUUAGCAAAAAUGAAAAAGACUUAGUUUUUUUUUCGUGGCAAUGAAUCAGAGAAAUGUGGGAGAAAUCAAUGAAAGGUUUAUUAAGCUUGAUCAACAAAUCAACACCUUCAUCAUUUACAUAUAUACGUGAGAAAAAUGGGAAUAAUUUUAUCGAUAAGGUAAAAGUCAUCAUCUAAUGUCAACGCUUCGAGUUUGAGUGUUUUGCAGGUUUGACAUUGUUUCUCUCUUGUUAUAUUCAGAUGGAUGAAUUGGCAUGCUUUGCUCCUGGGAUGUUGGCUUUAGGAGCAUCAGGUUAUGGUCCUGAUGAAGAAAAAAAGUUUCUUACACUUGCUGAAGAGGUACAUUAGAAUCUCUUUAGAGCUUUUAGUGAAGUUUUUGCUGUCUGCUUAUUGCUCUCUCUCCCCUCCAUUUUACUGCAGCUUGCCUGGACUUGUUAUAACUUUUACCAAUCAACACCAACGAAACUCGCUGGAGAGAAUUAUUUCUUCAAUGCAGGACAGGUAGGUUGGUAAAUAACAGGUUUAUUUUGCUUGCUUGGCUUGGUUAAACCCACAUAACGCAUGAUCGUUUCAGGACAUGAGUGUUGGAACAUCUUGGAACAUUCUAAGACCAGAAACUGUUGAAUCACUCUUCUACCUCUGGCGGUUAACUGGUAACAAGACAUAUCAAGAGUGGGGAUGGAAUAUAUUCCAAGCAUUUGAGAAGAAUUCUCGUAUAGAAUCUGGAUAUGUAGGCUUGAAGGAUGUAAGUUUCUUCUUAUCCAAAAACCCAUUUCCAUAUUUCAAAAAAACCUUUACAUCAUCAACGUUUCUUUCUUCAUUUUUCAGGUCAAUACAGGUGCUAAAGACAACAAGAUGCAAAGCUUCUUCUUAGCUGAGACUCUCAAGUAUCUUUACCUUCUCUUUUCGCCUCCAUCGGUUAUUUCAUUAGAUGAGUGGGUUUUCAACACAGAAGCUCAUCCGCUUAAGAUAGUGGCACGGAAUGAGCAGCGUAAGCCAACUAUAACACUACGACAGAGGCGGUUUGGUGGGAUUAUUAAGGGUUAAUAGACAGUUUACAGCUCAAAUGUAAUUUGAUAUUAUAUAAUACAACAGAGUUUGAGGCACAUUGUUGUAUUAGUUUGGAUAAUAGAUAAAGAACAAGAGAUGGAGAACCUUUUUGUAACAGCAAUUAGUUAAAGUACUCACUGUUUUCUUCUUCUAAUUUUAAAAGAGAGCAAUCAACUUUGACCACAAAGAAUGAAAGCAUGAAGAAGGCUUUGAGCGAAAUGAGCUUGGUCUGAUGUACCUGAGACCACCACUAGUCCCUCUGUAGUCCCUGCCUUUGGAUCAUGCACAACCACGUUUGCACCUGUCACCUGUUUGUAUCCGUUUACAAAGUAAUAUAGAUUGAUUCCUUUCAAAACAAUCGUCCUUCUAUGAAUGCACACAUUUUCUGGAUGAGUUAAAACGUACCUGCUUGAUGUAGUUCAGGUUACUGCAGUUCUCACCAUAUACAUGGCCUAGGUAUGCUUGAGGAACCACAAUCUCCACAUUUGCGCUUGUCAUUGGCAGAUUCUCCCCGCCAAUGGGCUCAUUCCUCAAAGCAAACCCGUGAUUCACAUCAGGAACCAUACCACCGGGAUGGCCAUCGAUAGGUGGCUGGUAAUUAAGAAAUAUUAACUAGCCAUUUGCGCUGUAACCAAGCUAUCAUACACAGAUUGAUUUCACAUACCUGUGGAGUCCAAGACAUUGGGGAAGGUGGUCUGUCAAAUCCAGGACCAUGACAAUGCCUCUCUGUGUAAUCAUACACAUUAUAAAGAGCUGAGAUAGAUGCAUGUAUCAACUGUUGAUCAGGAGUUGGGAUCUGAUGAAAAUACCAUGGUAUGGUCCUACAGGAGAAUGGUAACGAUCUGGAGAAGCUGGAUAUGGCCUCGGUCCAAAAGGAGGAGGCGGUUCUGGAUACGGACCCAUAGUUGUCAGAGAAGAGAAACUUUCCUUGUUACUUGAGAAAUCUGUUCAUUAUAAACCAUUAGAGAUGAAGAUAUGGGUGACCAAUACCAAGGCUGAUGAUGAGGCCAAAGACUUGUCGUGGAGCGUGUUCUUAGUAGUGGAUUUCACUUAAGUUACACAAGGUAUGACGAGGGUAAUGAGUUUCUUGGUGGACGAGGAGAAUAAAAGGGUCAUGUGUUGGAAAAAAGGUUUUGGUGACCUUACUACUUUCAUUAUUGUGGUAAAGUUCAGACCCGUCCUGGUAGUUAACAUGGUUCACUUCACAUUGGGACAACGCUUACACUAUUUUGGUGAGCUCUUAAAUAAAGUUAGUUGUCUUUUAACAGACUGCAAAAUUACAUCAGGCUAUCAUAGUAUAGUACCAAUUCAACAACAGUUUUACUAAGAAGCAUUUUAGAAUCAGAAAAAGAGAUAACCAAACAUCGCAGAGCAUUAUAACCUAUAUUAUUACAUUGUCACUGAUCAAAUCCGGUUAAACCUAAACCGAAUCAGAUUCUCUUAAAGGAAAUGAUAAAGCUACAUAGCACACGAGAGAUAAUCAAGCCUCUGUUUGAGAUCUUUCUCUUGCGUGUAAUGGCAAAGAGCCAAAGUGUUUUCCUCACUGUGAGUUGCUUAUGUCAUUGGCUACUGUUCCCAUCAUUUGAUCAGCCUCAAGAUUUGCCUCCUCCUGCAUGUUGCUUACUUCAUUAUUUACUUGAAGAUUUUGGGAUGUUUGAGGAGCUCCUCUGGAUAAGUCUCUAAGAGCACCCUAAACAUUAUAAGUCUUGUCAUUACACAGAAACAUCAAUGAAUCAAAAGAGCUAUAAAAUGAGUAAGACAGAGAGAGAGUUGAUCAGUUAAGCAUCAAGUGUUAGCUUGCCUUGUUUGCCCACAUAAGUCCACAUGCGUUGCAAAGUGUUCUUGGCCCUUCAGGUCCACGCCUCAUCAUUGGAGUUGACUUCUCCCCGAUUCCACAGUGCCGACAUCUUUACAGGUUCCAAAGAAAGAAAAGUCAGAUAUGCAAAGAAACAAAUACUAGUUCAUCACAACAUCUCUACACUAAGUGAGUUCAGGUUAAGUCCAAGUUAAAAAGCAUUGAUCAACUUACGAGAUUUCUUGAUUAUGAUGAGCCUCGCUACCUUCUAUAGCCCACGUUUGACUGGACUCCCAGCUAGAUCCAUCAGCUGCAGCUUCACCAUUGUUGGACUUGGCAGAUGUGAACUGACCUUUAUUGCGUUGCAUCCUGCAUAUACCGAAAGCAAUCAAGGUGCAAAUUCUAAAAAUGUAUAAGUGGACCAAGUUGUUGAAUGUACCUCAAAGCUACCUCCUUGCGAACUGUAUACCGAAUCUUCUUAUCAAAGUUCCUCUCUUUCCGUUUCUCUCGGAAUCUGACCAAAGAAGCUAACCGCUGUGGCAUACUAAACCUUUGAGGAGUUCCAGGUAGACCCUGUCCCAUUGAUUAAUCAGCAACCGCACUGAUGCAUACUAUGGUUAAAAUGUUCUAACUGAAAGGGAGCUCGACGUCAAACUCUUUCUAGUAUACUACAAUAGGGACAGGUUCAAUCACAAAGGCAAAAUCUAACCAAUACCCUAUUGUUCUGAUGAGAUGCUCCUAAGCCUGUAGGGGGUGCCUGAGGUACUUCUCUUCCACCCAAUAACAGAAGCACAGCUUGAACCUGCAGCAGAUGUUGAAACAGAUUAAAAAAAUGCAAGGAGAGAAUCAAAGAACCAACUCAGCGGCAACUUAAACCACCUUUUCAGGCAAGACGCUGUCAAAAACGUAGACUUGGCCUUGAAAGGACAACGUCAACUGGUCUCCUUGUUCGCUACCACGGUCGACCACUUCACCACGGUUGUCAGUUAUGUUUCCAGGGUGGGAAGGAACGUCGGUAUCAACCCCAUCACUCAUCCCACCACCACCACCAGUAUCAGCAUGGUCAUCGACCAUGCCGCUUCCGUUGUGGAUGUGUUGCAAAGCAUGGUGUCCGUAGUGGACAUGAUGCAAUGGAUCUUGAGUUUCUCCAAUGUGCAUCCGACCAUUGCUUCCAUGAAGUUCAUCAUCAUCCAUGGUUGCUUCUCAUCAAUUUACCUGACUGUUAACAAACUUACAUAAUUAAAACUAGAAGUUCCAUAAGUAUAAGGUUACAGAAAACAGAAAGGGGGUUUAGAGCAGAGAAUCUUCUCAAGUGAUAACAUCCUAAAAACCUUAACUUUGAACCUAAACCUAAACUUGGAUCAAUCAGAUCCGACCAAAGACUCUACCUUUGCACGUUUUAAGCCUUACACAGACCAUUUCAAACGAGAACCCACUUGAGAUCAAUAGUUUGGAUGAGGUACCUAUUCGUGGAAUCAACACCAAGACAGAACAGGAGACUGAAUAUGUCGGACGACCCAACAAGCGCGACGAGCAACGGUGAAAGAUGGCAACUUGGGGAGGUUGGAAGCGAUGAACAACGCUUGAGAAAGGAGAACAGAGACGAAGAACCGGAACACCUGCGAUUAGAGAAAGAAAGAGCGGUGAACUAAACCAAUGGGGUAACAAAGAGAUUCAGUUUAUUAAUUUAUCAGGAUAACAAUAAAUAAAGAAAGCUAACGGAUCAAUAAAUAAAUAACUUUUACUAAUUAUUUUUAAUAAUUAAAUAAGAGAAAAAUAUUAUCUUUAAAAUUUAGAAUAAGAGAAAUUCCAUAAGACUAUUUUUUUUUAGUUUUUGUACCAAAAUAGCUAUCAAUAAAGAAAAUGAACAAAAUAAAUUUUAUUAAAUAAUAAAAAUGAAUUAAAAGAUGAGGGUUUUGGGAUAAAGUUUCAGAUUUUGAAAAAUAAAUAUAAUUUUAAAAAAAAAAAAACUAUUUUGCUUAUUUUUUUAGUGAUAUUUUUGUGACAAAAACUUAAAAAUAACUAUUUAUAAGAAUUGUCCAUACAGAAAUAUAUUUUAAUUAAUCUGAUUUCUAAUCAUAUAAGCUAUAAAUAUAAAUUAUAUUUAACCCAGAAAAAUUAAAAGUAUAUAUGAUUUUACUGUGAUAAGUGUAAUUAUUUUUUAUAAAUCAAAAACCCAAAAAAAUUGAACUUAAACCCGAACAAAAACCCAAAUUGAACACCUCUAAAAUAAACCAAGAGAGACAAAGAGACUCAAUUUAAUAAAAAAAGAAAGCUAAGGGACCAAUAAAUAAAUAAUUUAUUAUUUUCUCUCUGAUGUUUGUUGUUUUCUUCUUUUAUUCUUUCUUCGUCUUCGUCAACCUUGAUCGGAUCUAUAAUAUAAUAUAACUGGGAUUCUUUUAAGGAAGCUCAUCUCUAUCUCUUCUAACUCAUUCUCCGAUCAGAGGAUUCGAAAGUUGACACCUUUACGCUUUCUUCUUCCUCUGUUUCAUGGAAUCUGAUCCCUCAAUUCGUCUCUGUUUCUGCUGAGUGUGUGUGUGAGAGAGAUGGCGAGAGGUAGAUCGAUAACUAGUUCUGGGAUAUGGAGAUAUUUGAAUCCAGCGUAUUACCUCAGAAGGCCAAAGCGUCUGGCUUUGCUCUUCUUCGUGUUCGUCUCUGUUUCCAUGGUGGUCUGGGAUCGUAUGAAUCUCGCCAGAGAACAUGAGG